rnacentral:rRNA from 1 species
GGGUUGUGAGGUUAAGCGACUAAGCGUACACGGUGGAUGCCCUGGCAGUCAGAGGCGAUGAAGGACGUGCUAAUCUGCGAAAAGCGUCGGUAAGGUGAUAUGAACCGUUAUAACCGGCGAUGUCCGAAUGGGGAAACCCAGUGCAAUUCGUUGCACUAUCGUUAACUGAAUACAUAGGUUAACGAGGCGAACCGGGGGAACUGAAACAUCUAAGUACCCCGAGGAAAAGAAAUCAACCGAGAUUCCCCCAGUAGCGGCGAGCGAACGGGGAGCAGCCCAGAGUCUGAAUCAGCUUGUGUGUUAGUGGAACGGUCUGGAAAGUCCGACGGUACAGGGUGAUAGUCCCGUACACCAAAAUGCACAGGCUGUGAACUCGAAGAGUAGGGCGGGACACGUGGUAUCCUGUCUGAAUAUGGGGGGACCAUCCUCCAAGGCUAAAUACUCCUGACUGACCGAUAGUGAACCAGUACCGUGAGGGAAAGGCGAAAAGAACCCCGGCGAGGGGAGUGAAAAAGAACCUGAAACCGUGUACGUACAAGCAGUGGGAGCACCUUCGGGUGUGACUGCGUACCUUUUGUAUAAUGGGUCAGCGACUUAUAUUCUGUAGCAAGGUUAACCGUAUAGGGGAGCCGCAGGGAAACCGAGUCUUAACUGGGCGUUAAGUUGCAGGGUAUAGACCCGAAACCCGGUGAUCUAGCCAUGGGCAGGUUGAAGGUUGGGUAACACUAACUGGAGGACCGAACCGACUAAUGUUGAAAAAUUAGCGGAUGACUUGUGGCUGGGGGUGAAAGGCCAAUCAAACCGGGAGAUAGCUGGUUCUCCCCGAAAGCUAUUUAGGUAGCGCCUCGUGAAUUCAUCUUCGGGGGUAGAGCACUGUUUCGGCUAGGGGGUCAUCCCGACUUACCAACCCGAUGCAAACUACGAAUACCGAAGAAUGUUAUCACGGGAGACACACGGCGGGUGCUAACGUCCGUCGUGAAGAGGGAAACAACCCAGACCGCCAGCUAAGGUCCCAAAGUCAUGGUUAAGUGGGAAACGAUGUGGGAAGGCACAGACAGCCAGGAUGUUGGCUUAGAAGCAGCCAUCAUUUAAAGAAAGCGUAAUAGCUCACUGGUCGAGUCGGCCUGCGCGGAAGAUGUAACGGGGCUAAACCAUGCACCGAAGCUGCGGCAGCGACACUAUGUGUUGUUGGGUAGGGGAGCGUUCUGUAAGCCUGCGAAGGUGACCUGUGAGGGUGCUGGAGGUAUCAGAAGUGCGAAUGCUGACAUAAGUAACGAUAAAGCGGGUGAAAAGCCCGCUCGCCGGAAGACCAAGGGUUCCUGUCCAACGUUAAUCGGGGCAGGGUGAGUCGACCCCUAAGGCGAGGCCGAAAGGCGUAGUCGAUGGGAAACAGGUUAAUAUUCCUGUACUUGGUGUUACUGCGAAGGGGGGACGGAGAAGGCUAUGUUAGCCGGGCGACGGUUGUCCCGGUUUAAGCAUGUAGGCUGGUUAUCCAGGCAAAUCCGGAUAAUCAAGGCUGAGGUGUGAUGACGAGGCACUACGGUGCUGAAGUAACAAAUGCCCUGCUUCCAGGAAAAGCCUCUAAGCAUCAGGUAACAUCAAAUCGUACCCCAAACCGACACAGGUGGUCAGGUAGAGAAUACCAAGGCGCUUGAGAGAACUCGGGUGAAGGAACUAGGCAAAAUGGUGCCGUAACUUCGGGAGAAGGCACGCUGGUGUGUAGGUGAAGUCCCUGCGGAUGGAGCUGAGACCAGUCGAAGAUACCAGCUGGCUGCAACUGUUUAUUAAAAACACAGCACUGUGCAAACACGAAAGUGGACGUAUACGGUGUGACGCCUGCCCGGUGCCGGAAGGUUAAUUGAUGGGGUUAUCCGUAAGGAGAAGCUCUUGAUCGAAGCCCCGGUAAACGGCGGCCGUAACUAUAACGGUCCUAAGGUAGCGAAAUUCCUUGUCGGGUAAGUUCCGACCUGCACGAAUGGCGUAAUGAUGGCCAGGCUGUCUCCACCCGAGACUCAGUGAAAUUGAACUCGCUGUGAAGAUGCAGUGUACCCGCGGCAAGACGGAAAGACCCCGUGAACCUUUACUAUAGCUUGACACUGAACAUUGAGCCUUGAUGUGUAGGAUAGGUGGGAGGCUUUGAAGCGUGGACGCCAGUCUGCGUGGAGCCAACCUUGAAAUACCACCCUUUAAUGUUUGAUGUUCUAACGUUGGCCCCUUACCGGGGUUGCGGACAGUGUCUGGUGGGUAGUUUGACUGGGGCGGUCUCCUCCCAAAGCGUAACGGAGGAGCACGAAGGUUAGCUAAUCCUGGUCGGACAUCAGGAGGUUAGUGCAAUGGCAUAAGCUAGCUUGACUGCGAGCGUGACGGCGCGAGCAGGUGCGAAAGCAGGUCAUAGUGAUCCGGUGGUUCUGAAUGGAAGGGCCAUCGCUCAACGGAUAAAAGGUACUCCGGGGAUAACAGGCUGAUACCGCCCAAGAGUUCAUAUCGACGGCGGUGUUUGGCACCUCGAUGUCGGCUCAUCACAUCCUGGGGCUGAAGUAGGUCCCAAGGGUAUGGCUGUUCGCCAUUUAAAGUGGUACGCGAGCUGGGUUUAGAACGUCGUGAGACAGUUCGGUCCCUAUCUGCCGUGGGCGCUGGAGAAUUGAGGGGGGCUGCUCCUAGUACGAGAGGACCGGAGUGGACGCAUCACUGGUGUUCGGGUUGUCAUGCCAAUGGCAUUGCCCGGUAGCUAAAUGCGGAAGAGAUAAGUGCUGAAAGCAUCUAAGCACGAAACUUGCCCCGAGAUGAGUUCUCCCUGAGACUUUAAGUCUCCUGAAGGAACGUUGAAGACGACGACGUUGAUAGGCCGGGUGUGUAAGCGCAGCGAUGCGUUGAGCUAACCGGUACUAAUGAACCGUGAGGCUUAACCUUACAACGCCGAAG